GUCCACGCCGUAAACGAUGGGUACUAGGUGCCUGGGGGAGCGACCCCUUGGGUGCCGGCGCUAACGCAGGAAGUACCCCGCCUGGGGAGUACGACCGCAAGGUUGAAACUCAAAGGAAUUGACGGGGGCCCGCACAAGCGGUGGAGCAUGUGGUUUAAUUCGACGCAACGCGAAGAACCUUACCUAGGCUUGACAUGCAUGGGAAACUCCUCAGAAACGAGGAGCCUCCUUCGGGAUCCAUGCACAGGUGCUGCAUGGCUGUCGU
rnacentral:rRNA from 1 species